rnacentral:misc_RNA from 1 species
GCUCUUGCUGUGGCAGCUUGAAGGUCAGUUUUAGUGUAAUCUGACGGUCUAACUAUUAUUGGGAAAUGGUACCAUUAUUAUUAAGAAUAAAAAUGGUUGUCAUGGUUUGUGUUUUUGUAAUUUUUUAAAUACUUCUGAUCCUUUGAUGAAAUUCCUAAAUGCCUAAGAUUUUAACUGCUGCAAUGCAAUCUGGUCAAUAGAUUGAUGAAGUAAUGCAGUUAGAAAAGAUUGGGUGGUGGGGGGACUACUGGUAGAAGAAUUGGUGCUAGCGACGAGUGCUGGUGGUAGUAGCGAUAGAAGUGAAGUUAGGUAUUAAAGUGACUAUGGUAAUCACAAUCACUGAGAUUUUGGUGCAUAAUGGGAUUACAUUCCUAAAGUAAAGGUGAUUACCCAAAAUGUAAUAGGCAUUAUAAUACAUUAUUGUAUUUUUUUAUACAUCCGACCAAAAAUAUCCUAAGUGAAAACGGUGGCAAUGCUUCAUCACUAAAAAGUCUUAGAUAAAAUAGAGUAGUCUGCUUGGCACUGGAUUAAGCAUUGUGUUCAUUAUAAGCUUAGGUGGAAUUAUGCAGCGUAUAAAAAUCAUAUUGAGAAAAUGUUCCAAGGAGUAGCCGAAAUUGGUCUUAGAUGCCAUAUAAAUAGAAGGCUCGAUGAAUUCCCCUCCCCCGGGUGAACCACGGAGGUCAUUUUGCCUUGCUCUCUCACUCUCUCUCUCUCUCU